rnacentral:lncRNA from 1 species
UUUGGUAAUUAAAAUUUGCAUAAAAUCCAAAUGAUCAAAAAUAGUAUUGCAACCAAAGAUAGGGUUAGUGAAAAUUGAAAACCCAAAAAGCCCAAUUGCUACCAAAAAAGAGCCCAAAAGGAGAGGCCCAAAAUUUAGCCCAAACAACCAAAAGGAAUUGGAUCCAUAUGCAAUCCCGUAGCAACAUGUUCUUUGUGUAGCAUUGCUUCAAUUAGCCAUAUCUUUCGACUCCGAAUUGCAAUCCAUUUGAAGUGUUGAAUUUUUGACUUCCUAAGAUGCAAAAUCAUAUGUGAUUUUCCCCAAGAAACUUACUGGAAGUAGCCCCAAUUUUGGCUCAAAAUUGACAUCAUUUUGCUGCCAUGCACUUUGCACAACCUUGCUUCAAUUAGCCAUAUCUCCCUCUUUUCAAAUCCGAAUUGUGAUUCGUUUGAAGCAUUGGAUUCCUGACUUCAUAAGAUUCGAAUCCAUAUGUGGUUUGCCCUAAGAAACUACUGUGAGGUAGUUUCUAUUUUAAGUUAAAGUUAACAUCACUAUUCAACCAUGGAUCUCAAAACAAAAAUUUCCAAGAAACUUUUUUUUUUUUAACCACCAUGGAAUCUAAAAAAGAACCUUUAAGAUUCUUUUUUUUCGCUUGGAUCACCACAUGCACCUUUGAUAUAUAUAUAUAUAUAUAUAUGUGUGUGUGUGUGUGUGUGUGUGUGUGUGUGUGUGUGUAUUUAUUUAUUUAUUUUGGAUUUGUUGUAAAAAAAAAUAGUUAUUUUUAAGAAUUUCUUUUUCUUUUUUGAAAAUUUAAGAAGUUCAAAUUUUUUCAAAAAAUUUAAAGGGGAAAAUUAAAAAAAAUGUUGAAAAAUGUUUUAAAAAAUAGAUUUUUUUUAUAAAAAAAAAUUAUUUUCUAGAAUUUUUUUUAAAUAAAAUAAAAAAUGAAAAAUGAAAAAUUGAACUUUUCUUAUAAAUUAAGGAGAAAAGUUAGAUUUUGUUUUUAAAAACAAAGCAUAUUGAAGCUCACAUAAAAAUGUUCAUAUAUAUAUAUAUAUUGAGGGAAAAUAAAUAAAACCAAUGAUUUUGUUUUGGAUUUUUUUUGUUUUUGUUUUUUUUUAAAGGAAAAAAAAUAAGAAAGAAAAAUCAUAAGUGUCACUCCUAGAAAGGAAAAGCAUGUUUGAGAAAUAUCGAGUCUGGGUCCAAGGGUCAGGUUAUUUAUCGAAAAAGUAUGAUAAUAAGUCAUAACACCCCUUUAAACCCUAAAAUCAGGUCUCUACUAAUAAAGUCGAGGCAAGUAUGACAAUUGGCUAAUUAAUCGAUGGAUACCAAUGAAUAAAUAUGAGAUAAGGUAAAUCAUGCAUAGAGCGUAAAAUAAUAAAUAAAAUGGAAACUAAAGUGUACCUUAGCAUCGAGCAAUAACAUUCUACAUGAGAAACAUGGUUAAUGUAUAAUGAUGAGUGUAAAACAACUCAUGCAAGUCAUAGGGCUAAGCAAAGAUUAGUUGUUAGUCAAUCAAGCAUAGUAAUUAAUAAUCAAAGGAGAAAAAUCAUAUGUUGGGCCCACCAAUUGAUUUUUCAUAAAUUAAUCCCAUAAAUUCCAUUAAUUUUAGAAUCAUAAAAUUUAUUCAUGUUUAUUUAAAAUCAAGAGAAAAUUAAUAAAAAGAUUAAAAAUCAAAGAAAAUAUGAAAAUGCAUGUUGAAAAGAGAAAUAUGGUAGUAAAUGAUUUAUUAAAAUCAAAAUUUUAUUUGCCUAAGGAAAGUUUGAGAAUGAAUUUUUGAAAGCUAAGAUUAUUCAAUUGAAAACAAUUUUGAAAAUUUAAUUUAAAACCUAUAAAUUCUCACCAAAAUAGGGAAAACAAACCAAGAUGGGGAAGUUGGCCAUGCAUGCAUGGGUCACAUGCACGGGGAAAGGAGGGGAAAAGUGCGUGCAUGCUGAUAUUGCACUCUGAGUGACAAGUGAGGAGACUAAACAGGUUGUGCACCUCUCAUUGCAAAUUCAUAUAAAUUCAUCUUUUCCUUCUUGAAUAGGACAAGGGUGAGGAACCAAUGAUAAUGCCUUUUCUAGACAUAGAAGUAAGUUGGUCAUGUCUGGAGUUAGUAUCUUCAACCAUCGCCAAUGCCAUCUCUGACUUAAGAUACUAGUUUUAGGAACUCUUUUGAUGAACCAAGCAAUUCAUGCAUUCGAAUCCAGCUUCUCACCUCUGGACUGCAUUCUCUACCAACUUUUUCUCUCCUCAUCUAUAGGCUAUUUUUAAGGCUUAUAGUCCUUAACUUCUAGAAUCUCCAUGGUUCCAUGAGGUCACAAAAAUUCGUCAUGCAAAGUACUGAUGGUGCUUUGAGUAAAUACCUAUUGAAGUAGUUGUUUUCUUAGCUUGGACAUGUUGUCUUAUGGAUAUAAGGAAAAUAGUGAAUUUGUCCUACCCUAAAACAAGUAAUCAAAGAACAGAAAAAGGAAACAGAAACUUAUCAGUAUUGUUGGUUGAGAUAGCACUGUCCUUAAAGUAGAUCCACCCUCCUUAAAGACAAGCUCGGUGCACUAGGGAACCAAUCGUCUACCUCCAAAUUCAACAACCAGUAUAAUUUCGCUUUAGGUGCACUCAAUAGAUGAGAUUUGUAUAGACAGGUGUAGUGAUGAACGUGGUUGCUGUAGUGGAUUUGAACGCAGAGUCUUAAUGGGUCUCUCCCAUAAAAUUGGAACCACUAACGCACAAACCGCGUAGGAUGCGUGUGUAUACGUGACACGCAUUAAGGGAUUUUGACCCAAAUUGCGCGAAACCUCAUUGAAAUGGGCUUGGGCCCCUUGGGUGCUUGAGGCUCCCCUACACCUCCCCACAAGUCCAUUAGGCUAAGGAAAGUAGGUUAGUUACUAUACCCACUAAAGAUGUUCCUCUUUUUCCUAUGUGGGACAAGCUAAAACACAAAAAACACACACUUUAUUAUACACUCUUCCUACAAGACAUUUCAUCCAAGGUUUUCACGUGUAUCACAUUCUCAUUGCGGAGUUCCACUAGACUUUCAGAAAGUUCAAAGCGUUGCAAAGAGUAGGCUCCAGUUAGGGCAUCACUGCUAGGGUUAGAGAAAUUGUACAGGACAUUUUAGUAGUUUCUUUCAGUUCCCUUUUUUUCCAACCUCUCUUGUUUAUCAACAGUUUCAUCAGUAACUAGGGUAUUAGCUUUAUUUCCAAUGGGUGAACCAAGUGAUUUUGAAUCCAUUUAGAAACCGCUCGAGUAAUGGGGACUCCCAUAGGGCAUAUGUGAUUUAAGGUCUUCCAAUGGAGACGAGGUUGGCGACCAAGUUCCAUCAAACCCAAACCUUGGACCUUGAUUUCCAUUUGAUCAACUUUAUUCUCAAUGACUCCUUGAGUGGCCAAACUUAAACGUCACUUCCGUAGAUACUUCAUAGUGGGAAAGGUUGUCAUCAUCACCACAUUGUUCUUGUUUGGUUGAUUGGGAAUUACCACCAAUGUAGUAGCUACCACACAUAGGGAUGAAACUAUGCUUCUGCGUAUUCAUGCAAAUGGACCGGUGCCAAUGGCAAUAGAGAAGUGGCUGAGAUGACGUAGAUUGGUUGGAGCUAGAGGGUCGAAGCUGGGUGGCAUCUAUGCCCAAGAGACUUCAAAAUAUUAAGAGAAAUGACAAACCUAUUAAUCCAAAUAUUCCUUCCAUCUAUCACAACCCAACCUUUACUUUGGAACUUUUCUUUAUCAUUAGAGUGAGAACAACUCUAAAACAUUACUCUAGAAAUGUGCUCAUCAAUUCCUUAAAUUGGAGGAAGGCCCUAUUUGCAUUUUUACUUCCAAUCUAGUUUGACUAUCUUGCUCAAUAUGUUUAGGACUAGCCAUGUCAACGAGCAUCAACCUUCCUCCUACACUCAUUGAAUUCAUGCUGAUCAAUUUGUCUAUUUCCAUUGGUAUAGGUCCAUAAUCAACACCUUUUCAUCAGUAACAUAGACUUUCAUUCCUUGAAAUAUAGGUGGUAGAGAAACCAAGGUGGAUGCUUCAAAUUCAGUUGAAUUAAUUUUGUAUUUUGGAAUUUUCUCUGCAAUGAUAGGCCUUGCUAUGUUCUUCGCAGUCUUGCAAGUUGCCUUGUCUAGAUAAGACCAUUUUUUUUCUUCUAGAAAUUAGUUAAAUCAAUCAAUUCAACCAUAUUCCGGAUUUUUCACCUAUCGAGGUGUGUUUGGAAGCAAACAUUGGGGAGUUUUUGAAUCUGACUAAACUAGAGAACGAACAAUAGGAUCCUGGACAUCAGUGGGUUGGACGUUAAUGAAGAGAUAAUACCCAAUCACAAGCCCAGUUGAGAUCCCUAUAACACCUCUAUAAAGUUUGUUUAAGCUCGUCUCUAAACUUCCUACCACACAUGCCAUCACUGCUAGUGUUGCAUGAAUAGACUCCAAAGUACAGGAAACUGAUGAUGUUGCAUUGGUAUAUGAAUGUUCACAUUCAUCAAUAAACAAGCCUUCAACUCGAUGAAAUUGACGAUCUAAGACCCUCAACAAUCUUACAAGAAGAUUUUUAGGAACCAAAUUUAGAAGCUUUAUUGCAUGAUGGAUCCAAAGCCUAGGUCUGCAUCCUGAUAUUGCCAAACCUGAACGCUUUCUUUACUUUCAAUGGAAGACCCAUCAGUAGCCUCAAUGUACAACUUCAUAACAGACUCAACAAUCUACUUUUGUCCUCCUCACAAACCCAAACUCUUAGUGCUAGAAACUCUCUAUCUCUUGCAUUAUGCUCAUUUGACUUUAACCAACAUGACAUGGCAUUUAGAAAGACCAAAGUUAGUCGUGCCUUUGUCAUUUGACCCAUAAUUCCCUUGUUCACCUUCACCGUUCUCACUACCAAGGUCUUCCCAAAGUGCACUCAAUUGAUUCGUUUAGCUCUCCAUCUUCAUGCUGAAAGUCAUGUCCCAUCUGAAGCUCACUUGCUUUUUUCCAUAUUAGCUAUAGGACUAAGAUCAUCUUGAGAAACAUCAAAAUCACAACCACUACCAACUAUCUUAUCAACAUGAUCCACAGGAUCAUUUGAAGCACUUAUGCGUUCAUCGUGACUGUUAAAACCAGGGGAUGCAGCUAAAAAUUAUACAUAAAAAAAACCAUUAAAAUGGUUGCUAGGUUUUUUUUGGCAUACUUUUCCAAUAUACACAAAUGUUGGGUCGAUCAAUAGACCUGAGACUGUAAAUCUUUGAAGUUUAGUGCAGUUCUUCACCAUUACUGCUCAAUUUGGAAUUUAGGAAAGAAUUAUAGAGCUUGCUAGAAUAUGUAUUUGGACAUGGUAGACACUCAUACAUGCUUCUCCAUAAUGAAAUGGUGGCUAACACUACUACUUAUAACACCACACCAACUUUAUCAUAAACAACAACCCCCUCACAUAGUCUUCCAAACUCAUUUUCCUAGAAACAAAGAGAGAAAAGAUGCAAUUAACAAAAACAUAACAAACAAGCCCUUCAAACCAAACACCAUUUCAUGAUCAAUCCAUAUGCUUAAAAGGCUUGUGGAGAGCAACCAAAUCCAAAUUUAAAGAAAAGAAUAGAGAUAUGAUCAUUAAGGUUGUAACGACCCAUACCCAAUCGUGUAGAUAUUAUCCUCUUUGGGCCCAAAGAAACCCUCACGAUUUUAAAACGCCUCUACAAGGUUAAGAGGAGUCUUUACCUAUAUAGCACUAGAAACUUUCUCCCUUAUCCGGUGUGGGACAUCACAAACGUUCCCAAUGCAGACACAACAUUCUCAUUAUGUCCUAUGGGAUUGCGGGGUCAAACAGAUAAACACCCCUUACGGGACCAAACAAACCCCCAUAUCUAGUUUGACGAUUGACUCUGAUACCAUUUGUAAUUACCUGCACCCAACCAUGUAGAUAUUGCACGCUCUAAGCCCAAAGGGGUUCUCACGGUUUUACAAUGCGUCUACAAGAUUGAGAGGAACCUCUACAUAUAUAACAUUAGGAACUUUCUCUCUUAUUCAAUAUGGGACAUCACAAAGGCACAAUGGAAUUGAAAAGAAAUAUUACUCUCACACCAAACCAAAGGAAUAAGAGAUAGAUAAAAAACAUCAAGCUCACAAACAAUGUAGCAAAUAAAGCCCAAACACAAUAAAGAAGGAAAGAAGAAUAGUGCGAUAUGGGAGAUAACAGGAAUUACAUAGAAAACUUACUUGUGAAAUCCUCUGAAGCAAAGAUGGCUUGGCUUUUCUGUCAUCCUCUUCAUUUUUCUGGUUUCUUCUUUUAUGUUUUCUCUCUUUCUACUUUUCUAUGAGCCUUUCUCCAGACAAACCUCACCAGCUAAACUGCUCACCUCUCUUUCACUCUAUUUUCUUCCAAUUUUCUUACCUCUCAAGCCUCUGCUCUCUUUCAGUUCCCUAAAAUCUGCUCUCUCUCUCAACUCCCUGGAAUCUACUCUCUCUUCAAGCUAAAAUUUCUUCUUUCCUUACUUGCCUACUCUUUGCACUCUCUAUUUUCUUUUUAAACCUUUUCUCGUUGCCUAAGACACACUCACUAGAGAGAACCCUCUCUUCCUUUCCUUAACAACCCACACUCCGCUAAAAUGUUCUUCCCUUCUCUUACUUGCUCAUUCAGACACCUUCCCCUUUCUCAGUUUCUUGCAGCUCCAAACUCCCUUCUCUCUAAAAUUUUUCUUUCCUCUCAAGUCUCUCACACUAGCCAAAAAACAAAAGCUC